rnacentral:pre_miRNA from 1 species
AGCCUCCUGAAUUCGUGCCAAUAUUUCAUCAGACACCAAAAAACACAAGGACCGAUCAAACUUCCAAGAUAAGUGAAGUG